ensembl:lncRNA
CCGGAGACCCCUACUCACACCUUGCAGUCCGGCCUGUUCCAGCCCACAAGGGCUUUGCUCUACUUAGGGCGAAUCACAAGCGGGCUUUCAUCCAGGCCAUUCCGGAUUCGCUAAUCAGCGCCGCUCUUUCAGGGCCCAGCUUCCCCCUCAUUUGCUUUCCGCCGCCGCUGCUCCAGGCAAAGCGGAGCGUCGCGGGGAGAGCACGUCGCACCCGUUACGCCCUUCGAUUCGGCCUCAAGUUCGAUUGGAUAGAGGCCGUCCCGGCUCCCCGCCCCCUCGGCCCACCCCAUUGUCAAUCACACCAUCUCUUGGGUAACUCAGGGCACCGUUGGUCAGUCUAGUAUGAGGGCGGGUUGUUGGGCGGGAAAGAGCUGCUUUUCCAGCGUCCUUUGCUGUUACCGUGGAGACUGCGCAGCCAGGCCUUGGCGCGGAGGGUCCAGGCAACCCCUUUCCCGCAUGUUGAAGUCUGGAUAUCUGUGCAGCAGUCUAGAUAUUACUGCCUGUUCCGGAGUCUGAUGAGCAUCUCAGUCCCCGACCCACUGGCUCUGGUGGCCCGCGGGAUUUGGGGGGCAAAUCAAAUUAGGCCUCGGAGAGGAAGUCAGGCCCAGUCAUCAAGAGUCCCUAACAAUCCUCCUGGAGAGAACCGAGUAUGAAGCUGUAAUAACAUCACGUUUUCGUUUAUCCUUACCUCGCCUUAUUUUAUUUGGGGUUAUUCUUCCGUUAGCCUUAUGAAGCGGACUGUGGCAAGAAUCAUUCUACUCACAGGGCAGACUGGCGAAGAGAGACCAGGGUCAAUCAGGUGAAUCUUCUGUAGCUACACCUCCAGGCAGUUGGAACUCCAGCUGGUCCAUGCCUUUGGCAGACUGCUUUUACCUAACUGCAAGCUAAAACUUGCCAUGAUUUUAUUCCGAGGCUAUGGCCUGUUGGACCAAAAGAUCCAAAACUCAGGCCAACCAAAGCAAAUAGGACAGAGGAUCCAUGUUCCAUUGCUGAAUCAGCAAGGGAAAAUACACAAAAAUAAAAAUAAACAGUACCAGAUUUGAGAGCUGCGGUAUCUGAACCUUUGACCUUAGACAAAAUUUGGAAACGUUAUGAAGCAAACUCUUCAAUCGUGGAAUACUAAAUCUCUGAUUUAGGGAAUUCAGCUCCUGAAUCAUAGCUUUGUGAGUAAAAUGGAAGAACAUGGUUGAAUUCCAUUGAAAACUAGGAGAAGGAUACGCAGCAUCCAACAGCAAGAGAAUCUGUCACCACUGGCCCUGCCCAGCGCCGAGUUUGCAAUCCAGCCAUCCUUUCUGGAGAGCUGAUAUAAAGUGUCUGGCAAGAGAAGGAUUCCGCGAAUUCUGAUUUUCUCAACUCUGGUGAAGGAGGAGAGGACAGCAGCCCGAGAGGCACAACACCAGGCAGCUGCUGGGAAGAUAUAUAUGGCAAGACUCAGCUGGAGCCUAUACAGGAACAUUUGACUAACUGAGAAGGGAAUCCUGGAAGGCAAGAUCGCAAAGACAGCAAAGCUGAGCAUGAAGUGAGCAGCAGGGCCCAUCAGCGCCAUUGUGGACAUGGAUGGACAGGCAGCCGUGCAGUGCCUCUGAGCUGAACGAGGCACAGCAGGCUCUGUGCGUGCUCCCUCUUCCAUCCCCUUCCUUCUCUUCCAGGGAGUCUUCUACACCAACCAUAACAGAGGCAACAACUCCUAAAUCUCACCGAGUUCAAGCAGGCAAAUCCAAGAACUGUUCAUCUCAAAUUAGCCUGCUUACCCUUUAUUAUGAUGCUAUGGAAAAACGCUUUCACAAUGCUUUGAGCAACGCUUUUUUUUUUUAAUAGUUAUUCUACAUCCAUGAUCUCAUUUGAUCCUCACAGCACCCCGAGAAAGGGAAAAGGCGCAUCUGUAACUCCUAUGUGAGAGCUGACACUGAGUAACAGUAACUUGCCCAAGUUGCCCAGUGAGUUAGGUUAGAAUCAGGCCCCAGAGCCUUCGGACUUUCUAGGCCAAAGUUCUCCUAAUCUGCCAUUGUUACUCAUAUCCCGCUAAUGUUCAGACCGCUUUUCAAAGCAGAAAAAUAUUCUCUCAGACAUCUAAAUUAUUUAUAUCCUAAUGUAACCUAAAAGUUACAAACAAAAAAUAGGUAUGACUUCCCAAUGUUUAUAGCUUUUUUACAACUAAGAAUUAAUUAGAUGCUAAAAAAGUUCUGAAAUAAAAAAAAAUUUAAGUUAACAAUACUAGUCCAAUUUGAACCAUAACAUCGUUUUCCUGAAACUGAUUGCCCCUGUGGAAGAGCACGUAGCCCUGACUGCUCAGUUACCGGUUCUUUUUCACGUGGUUCGCCUAGUGCUGUGGGCGCCGUCGUUCUUCUGAAAUCAAAUUUCGGCGAAACUGACAUUGGUUGAAAGCCACGGUGACGCCAUUUGGCC